rnacentral:rRNA from 1 species
UACAGAGGUCUCAAGCGUUGUUCGGAUUCAUUGGGCGUAAAGGGUGCGUAGGUGGCGCGGUAAGUCGGGUGUGAAAUCUCGGAGCUUAACUCCGAAAUUGCAUUCGAUACUGCCGUGCUUGAGGACUGGAGAGGAGACUGGAAUUCAUGGUGUAGCAGUGAAAUGCGUAGAGAUCAUGAGGAAGACCAGUGGCGAAGGCGGGUCUCUGGACAGUUCCUGACGCUCAGGCACGAAAGCAUGGGGAGCAAAAGGG